ensembl:lncRNA
CGGGUUUCCAUCAGAUUCUUAAUGGUUUCCAUCAGAUUCUUACGGGUUUCCAUCAGAUUCUUAACGGUUUCUGUCAUCAGAUUCUUAUGGUUUUCCAUCAGAUUCUUACGGGUUUCCAUCAGAUUCUUACGGGUUUCCAUCAGAUUCUUAAUGGUUUCCAUCAGAUUCUUAAUGGUUUCCAUCAGAUUCUUACGGGUUUCCAUCAGAUUCUUAUAGCUUUCCAUCAUCAGAUUCUUACAGGUUUCCAUCAGAUUCUUACGGGUUUCCAUCAGAUUCUUAUAGCUUUCCAUCAUCAGAUUCUUACGGGUUUCCAUCAGAUUCUUACGGGUUUCCAUCAGAUUCUUACGGGUUUCCAUCAGAUUCUUAAUGGUUUCC